rnacentral:rRNA from 1 species
CCCUUAGACACUCUAGGCGGCACGCGCGCUACAAUGGGUGGAAGAACGUGUUACUGCCUCCGAAAGGAGGGGUGAAUCACGAAUUCUUGCCCGUGAAUGGGAUAGUUUGUUGCAAUUUUCGGACUUGAACUAGGAAUCCCUUGUAAACAUGCUCAAGAAUAGCGUGUUGAAUACGUCCCUGCCGUUUGUACACACCGCCCGUCGUUUCUUCCGACUGAUACUCAUUGUGAGUUGCAAGGACCCUUUAUUGGGAAAUUGCUGCAAAUGCUUUGUAUUGGAGGAAGAAAAAGCCGUAACA